GAUGAACGCUGGCGGCGCGCCUAACACAUGCAAGUCGAACGGCACCCCUCUCCGGAGGGAAGCGAGUGGCGAACGGCUGAGUAACACGUGGAGAACCUGCCCCCUCCCCCGGGAUAGCCGCCCGAAAGGACGGGUAAUACCGGAUACCCCGGGGUGCCGCAUGGCACCCCGGCUAAAGCCCCGACGGGGAGGGGAUGGCUCCGCGGCCCAUCAGGUAGACGGCGGGGUGACGGCCCACCGUGCCGACAACGGGUAGCCGGGUUGAGAGACCGACCGGCCAGAUUGGGACUGAGACACAGCCCAGACUCCUACGGGAGGCAGCAGUGGGGAAUCUUGCGCAAUGGGGGGAACCCUGACGCAGCGACGCCGCGUGCGGGACGGAGGCCUUCGGGUCGUAAACCGCUUUCAGCAGGGAAGAGUCAAGACUGUACCUGCAGAAGAAGCCCCGGCUAACUACGUGCCAGCAGCCGCGGUAAUACGUAGGGGGCGAGCGUUAUCCGGAUUCAUUGGGCGUAAAGCGCGCGUAGGCGGCCCGGCAGGCCGGGGGUCGAAGCGGGGGGCUCAACCCCCCGAAGCCCCCGGAACCUCCGCGGCUUGGGUCCGGUAGGGGAGGGUGGAACACCCGGUGUAGCGGUGGAAUGCGCAGAUAUCGGGUGGAACACCGGUGGCGAAGGCGGCCCUCUGGGCCGAGACCGACGCUGAGGCGCGAAAGCUGGGGGAGCGAACAGGAUUAGAUACCCUGGUAGUCCCAGCCGUAAACGAUGGACGCUAGGUGUGGGGGGAGGAUCCCCCCGUGCCGCAGCCAACGCAUUAAGCGUCCCGCCUGGGGAGUACGGCCGCAAGGCUAAAACUCAAAGGAAUUGACGGGGGCCCGCACAAGCAGCGGAGCAUGUGGCUUAAUUCGAAGCAACGCGAAGAACCUUACCAGGGCUUGACAUAUGGGUGAAGCGGGGGAGACCCCGUGGCCGAGAGGAGCCCAUACAGGUGGUGCAUGGCUGUCGUCAGCUCGUGUCGUGAGAUGUUGGGUUAAGUCCCGCAACGAGCGCAACCCCCGCCGCGUGUUGCCAUCGGGUGAUGCCGGGAACCCACGCGGGACCGCGCGCCGUCAAGGCGGAGGAGGGCGGGGAGGACGUCAAGUCAUCAUGCCCCUUAUGCCCUGGGCUGCACACGUGCUACAAUGGCCGGUACAGAGGGAUGCCACCCCGCGAGGGGGAGCGGAUCCCGGAAAGCCGGCCCCAGUUCGGAUUGGGGGGUGCAACCCGCCCCCACGAAGUCGGAGUUGCUAGUAAUCGCGGAUCAGCAUGCCGCGGUGAAUGAGUUCCCGGGCCUUGCAC
rnacentral:rRNA from 1 species